rnacentral:lncRNA from 1 species
AAGGAGUGCUUGUGGAGAUCGGAUCUUUUCUCCAGCAAUUGGGGGAAAGAAGGCUUUUUCUCUGAAUUAGCUUAGUGUAACCAGCGGCGUAUAUUUUUUAGGCGCCUUUUCGAAAACCUAGUAGUUAAUAUUCAUUUGUUUAAAUCUUAUUUUAUUUUUAAGCUCAAACUGCUUAAGAAUACCUUAAUUCCUUAAAGUGAAAUAAUUUUUUGCAAAGGGGUUUCCUCGAUUUGGAGCUUUUUUUUUCUUCCACCGUCAUUUCUAACUCUUAAAACCAACUCAGUUCCAUCAUGGUGAUGUUCAAGAAGAUCAAGUCUUUUGAGGUGGUCUUUAACGACCCUGAAAAGGUGUACGGCAGUGGCGAGAAGGUGGCUGGCCGGGUGAUAGUGGAGGUGUGUGAAGUUACUCGUGUCAAAGCCGUUAGGAUCCUGGCUUGCGGAGUGGCUAAAGUGCUUUGGAUGCAGGGAUCCCAGCAGUGCAAACAGACUUCGGAGUACCUGCGCUAUGAAGACACGCUUCUUCUGGAAGACCAGCCAACAGAAUGAGAUGGUGAUCAUGAGACCUGGAAACAAAUAUGAGUACAAGUUCGGCUUUGAGCUUCCUCAGGGGCCUCUGGGAACAUCCUUCAAAGGAAAAUAUGGGUGUGUAGACUACUGGGUGAAGGCUUUUCUUGACCGCCCGAGCCAGCCAACUCAAGAGACAAAGAAAA